GGAGGAACUCCGACAGCGCUCGGCCCGCGGCCUCUUUCCACCCUCUCCCUUCCAGAAAGGAUGCGCCCGCCGAGGACUUCAGCCUUCCCUUCCAAAGGGGAAUCGCUUCUAGAAAGCUUUUCUCAGAAGGAGAGAGACAGAUUAUUCGGUUGGAAAGAGAAGCAAAUCUUAAGAGCAAAACGAGGGAGGAUCAAAGGGUCGGUUCGUGUGAACUGAAGACGGGAGCCUUUCCAGGGGGGCAGGACCUUUUCCGAUCUCGGGCAAGACAUUUUGGAGCCAGUGAGCCAGUGAGGAUCAAAAUCAAGAAAUUAAAUUUGGAGGCUGAGUUCCCAGCGUCAAUCAUUUGCAGUUGGACAGAGGAAAAAGAGAACCAGAACAGAGCUGCUGGGAGGAGGCUGAGCUGGGCGUGGGGACCUCUGAAGGCAAGACUGGGCUGAGGAACUGCCCCGUGCAGGUAACUCGCUUAAUGACCGGCCUCCUUCCCCGGAUAUCUAUUCAUUCUUGCCCAUCUCUUGAAGAUGUGACAUCUUGCUCCCAAUCUCCUCUGUGACAUGCCUGGCUGGUGUUAAGCUUGACUUCUAAACUGAAAGAUUAAGAGGCAUAUUACUGGGCUCUAGGGUAGAGGAUCUUUUUAAGAAAAUUAGAGACACCAAGGGAACAUUUCAUGCAAAGAUGGGCUUGGUAAAGGACAGAAAUGGUAUGGACCUAACAGAAGCAGAAGAUAUUAAGAAGAGGUGGCAAGAAUACACAGAAGAACUGUACAAAAAAGAUCUUCACGACCCAUCACAAUGGUGUGAUCACUCACCUAGAGCCAGACAUCCUGGAAUGUGAAGUCAAGUGGGCCUUAGAAAGCAUCACUACGAACACAGCUAGUGGAGGUGAUGGAAUUCCAGCUGAGCUAUUUCAAAUCCUGAAAGAUGAUGCUGUGAAAGUGCUGCACUCAACAUGCCAGCAAAUUUGGAAAACUCAGCAGUGGCCACAGGACUGGAAAAGGUCAGUUUUCAUUCUAAUCCCAAAGAAAGGCAAUGCCAAAGAAUGUUCAAACUACUGCACAAUUGCACUCAUCUCACACAUGAGUAAAGUAAUGCUCAAAAUUCUCCAAGCCAGGCUUCAGCAAUACGUGAACCGUGAACUCCCUGAUGUUCAAGCUGGUUUUAGAAAAGGCAGAGGAACCAGAGAACAAAUUGCCAAUAUCCGCUGGAUCGUCGAAAAAGCAAGAGAGUUCCAGAAAACAUCUAUUUCUGCUUUAUUGACUAUGCCAAAGCCGUUGACUGUGUGGAUCACAAUAAGGAUUGGACUGACCUUUUCCAGUUCUGUGGCCACUGCUGAGUUUUCCAAAUUUGCUGGCAUAUUGAGUGCAGUACUUUCACAGCAUCAUCUUUCAGGAUUUGAAAUAGCUCCACUGGAAUUCCAUCACCUCCACUAGACUGCAUAGGCCGGAUCUUCUGGAGCAAAGGUAAGAAUGAUGCAGUUAGAGCUGAUGGAACUGGAAGAGGAGAAAGCUGAUAGGAGUAUCAUUCAGAAAGUGUUGGCUCUCUAAGAAUUUAGGAUUUUAUUAUGGAAAAAGAUGAGAGCCUGCUGGGGAGGCUGUUGUUGGAUGGUGUGGGGCACGGGGAGAUACCAUGAGUCUUAUUAGAUCUCUUCUGUCUCAUCCAGACUUCACAGCAACCAGAGACUGCUGACACCCAAACAGGUGUCCUGAACCCCAGCUUUCCCCCUGGCUCCUGCCUUCCUGAUCCAGCUCUUCACUUGACAUCUCCCCAUAAGUGUUUAAAAACAUCUCAAGGAACUCCCUGGCGGCGUAGUGGUUAGGAGUCUGCACUUUCCUGUAAGCCAAAAAAAAAAAGAGGAAAAAAAGGUAGCAUUCCUUUUGGGAAUCUCCUGGUUGUCCAGUGGUUAGAACCCGGCACUCCCACUGCUGAGGGCCCAGUUUCCAUCCCUGACCAGGGCGCUAAGAUCCUAUAGGUCCUGCGGUACAGCCAAAAAAUGAAGUGAAACAAUCUCAGAUUUAGUAGAACCCAAGCAGAGCACUUCAUCUCCUCUCCACUCACCCUACUGUUCCUGAUGUCCACCCCAGCUCUGUUAAAGAAAAUUCCAGGCCUCUGUUGGCUCUGGCCAAAACCUGGGAGCAGCCUUGACUGCUCCCAUCGCUCAGCUACUCUUUCUUCUCCUGAGCAAAUCCUGUCGACUGCCUUCAACGUUUACUCAGAACCUACUAGAUGAACCUCAGCCAUUCUCUCUCCCUUGCUUCAGCGCCUCAUCAUUCCUUACCCAGAUUGUUACAAUGACCUGAAGCUGUUUUCACUGUUUUCAUUCUUGCCCUACCCCACCCCACUUUACUCUUAGGAUAGAAACUCUGUUAAAACAGACCACAUCAUCCCUCACCACGAAGCAGCCGUGGCUCCCAUCUCGCUCAGGCUGGGGGCUAAGGGCCUUGGGGUAGACUGCUCACGCCGUGACCCGUGCUUUCUGAGCCCAUCCGCUCAGCUCGGUCACGGCGCGUCCCUCAUCCUGGCGUGGUCCUACCUCAGGGCCUUGGCACGUGCUGUGACGGCUGCUUGGCUACUCCCUCAGAGCAAUGUGUGACUUGCUCUUUCUCCUACUUCAGGUCUUUCUCUUCUGUAAAAAGUGAGGCGGUCAGUUUCAGGCCCUGCGGGACACAUGGUGUCCAGUGACAGUGCUCCGGCCAUUGCCGUGCAGUGGGGACAUGGGCAGUGAACAGAUGAGCAGGACUAUGAUGCAAAAAAACUUUAUUUAUGGACAGUGAGAUGGAGCUUCAUAUGAUCUUCAUGUGUUCACACAUGUUGCUCUUCUUUUGAUUUUUGUUCCAACAAGUUAAAAAUGGAAGAGCUGUUGUUAGCUCCCAGCUGUAUGAAAACAGGCAGUGGGCUGGACUGGCCCUCCUUCCUGGUGCAUCCACCCGCCUCAGAGAUGACUUCCCUGCCCAUCCUCCCCAAAAUGCUAGGCGUGCACCCUGCCACACACGCACGCACACACACACACACACACACACACACACACACACUUCUCCACAGCCUUCUCUCUCACUAGCUUAUCUCCAUCUGGUUUUCUCUAUAUUUAACUUACUAUCUUGUUUAUGGUUAUUAUUUUGUAGUCUCUCCUAAACCUCCACCUACAAGCUCCAUGAGGGCAGGGGUUUUUGUCUGUCUGGCACACCGAUGUGUCCCGACAUCCCGGAGGUCCUGGCCUGUACGGGGCGGUGGGGCUCAGGGCGAGGCCGUUUGCGGAGUGAGCAGCCGAGACUGGAGGCGAGCAGACUCCCAUGCCGGUCCCGGGGGCAGGGGUGCAGAGGCCGCCUUUGUUAGGCCCACGCUCUGUGCAGGCACCGGGCGCAGGCUUCCUCCAGAUGCAACGUGGGACACCUUCCAGCUGAGAAGAGCGCUUGGCGCGGGAGGCCAGAUGUUUGCGGGCGACCACCGCG
ensembl:lncRNA